rnacentral:lncRNA from 1 species
CCUCCUUCAGCUCGUUGGAAAGCUUAGCCACUUUGUUAUUCAGCUGAGAACACCUGGCAGCGGUACCCACUUCCUUUCGACAGACUGCUUUUCUUUGAGCAAGUCAUUCAGCCUCUGUUCCAGACUGUCACACUUCUCAAUGGUCUCUUUAAAUUUGGUCUUCAUGUUGUUAAUCUCUUCAGCUGUAUCCUUUUCUAUUCGGACAAUCUUGUUUUCCCAAUAGAUUCUCUGCGAUUCCAGCUGGCUUGUUAGCAAAUAUGAGUACUCUAAUUGUAAGGCAUCAAUUUUCUCUUCCUGACACAUAUCUCCCUCGCACUCAUACUGAACUAUCUUCCCAUCAGUUUUACUUGCAACCAGUCGGUGGACGUAGUUAUCUCCAGCAUAAUCCCAGACUCUGUGGUUGGUCAACUGCAUUGCAUAGGUGUGCUGGGUCUCCUCAAAGUGCUUGUAGGCAUGGCGACUCACAUACCGGCCACAGCCUAUGUGCCCACAUAUCAAACAGAUCCAGAGGUUUUCUUGAACUCCACACUCAAAACAUUUGUUCUCUUCCACUGGCUCCGGCGUUUGGCAGUAUCUGCAGACAGGACAC